UAGGAGGAGGUUUGCGGUAUGUGUGGUACUGAGGUAAUGGCUGCGCACAGUACCACCCAUGCCGCCCUCCUCCCCCUACA
rfam:Myotis lucifugus cont2.17457, whole genome shotgun sequence.